GAGGGCAUAGCUCAGUGGUAGAGCACAUGCUUAGCAUGCAUGAGGUCCUGGAUUCAAUCCCCAGUACCUCCA
rnacentral:tRNA from 1 species